ACAGCGAUACGGCUUUUCGCUU
rnacentral:miRNA from 1 species